rnacentral:rRNA from 1 species
AUCAAGCAGGUACGAAAGUAGGUCUUAGUGAUCCGGUGGUUCUGUAUGGAAGGGCCAUCGCUCAACGGAUAAAAGGUACUCCGGGGAUAACAGGCUGAUACCGCCCAAGAGUUCAUAUCGACGGCGGUGUUUGGCACCUCGAUGUCGGCUCAUCACAUCCUGGGGCUGUAGUCGGUCCCAAGGGUAUGGCUGUUCGCCAUUUAAAGUGGUACGCGAGCUGGGUUCAGAACGUCGUGAGACAGUUCGGUCCCUAUCUGUCGUGGGCGUUGGAGAUUUGAGAGGGGCUGCUCCUAGUACGAGAGGACCGGAGUGGACGAACCUCUGGUGUUCCGGUUGUCACGCCAGUGGCACUGCCGGGUAGCUAUGUUCGGAAGCGAUAACCGCUGAAAGCAUCUAAGCGGGAAGCGCGCCUCAAGAUGAGAUCUCCCGGGAGCUUGACUCCCCUGAAGGAACCAUCAAGACCAGGUGGUUGAUAGGCUGGGUGUGUAAGUGCAGCAAUGCAUUGAGCUAACCAGUACUAAUGAUCCGUGUGGCUUGACCAU